AGUCGAGGGGCAGCAUGAUUGAAGCUUGCUUCAAUUGAUGGCGACCGGCGCACGGGUGAGUAACGCGUAUCCAACCUUCCGUACACUCAGGGAUAGCCUUUCGAAAGAAAGAUUAAUACCUGAUGGUAUGAUGAGAUUGCAUGAUAUCAUCAUUAAAGAUUCAUCGGUGUACGAUGGGGAUGCGUUCCAUUAGGUAGUAGACGGGGUAACGGCCCACCUAGCCUACGAUGGAUAGGGGUUCUGAGAGGAAGGUCCCCCACAUUGGAACUGAGACACGGUCCAAACUCCUACGGGAGGCAGCAGUGAGGAAUAUUGGUCAAUGGACGAGAGUCUGAACCAGCCAAGUAGCGUGAAGGAUGAAGGUCCUACGGAUUGUAAACUUCUUUUAUAAGGGAAUAAAACCUCCCACGUGUGGGAGCUUGUAUGUACCUUAUGAAUAAGCAUCGGCUAACUCCGUGCCAGCAGCCGCGGUAAUACGGAGGAUGCGAGCGUUAUCCGGAUUUAUUGGGUUUAAAGGGAGCGCAGACGGGUCGUUAAGUCAGCUGUGAAAGUUUGGGGCUCAACCUUAAAAUUGCAGUUGAUACUGGCGUCCUUGAGUGCGGUUGAGGUGUGCGGAAUUCGUGGUGUAGCG
rnacentral:rRNA from 1 species